rnacentral:rRNA from 1 species
UACGUAGGGUGCAAGCGUUGUCCGGAAUUAUUGGGCGUAAAGAGCUCGUAGGCGGCCUGUUGCGUCCGCUGUGAAAGCCCGGGGCUUAACCCCGGGUCUGCAGUGGAUACGGGCAGGCUAGAGGUAGGUAGGGGAGAAUGGAAUUCCCGGUGUAGCGGUGAAAUGCGCAGAUAUCGGGAGGAACACCGGUGGCGAAGGCGGUUCUCUGGGCCUUACCUGACGCUGAGGAGCGAAAGCAUGGGGAGCGAACAGG